UAUGUUUAAAUAUAUAUAUUUAAUUAACACAUGUCAGAAUCUAAUCAUCUCAUCUAAUUACAACAUAACCUAAUACAUAUUCAAUCAAACAUUCCCUCUCAAGCAUUUCAUCAAGCACAUAUUUCCAACACUUUGAAAGAAAAAAAAAUCAACCAACAAAAAAAUUAAUUAUCCCAAGAAACUAUAUAGCAUUCAUUAAUUCAAUACCAGAAAACUACAGCAAGAUUAAUUAACAAAAAAAAAAAAACGUACACAUUAUAUACAGGCUAUCAAAAAACAAACAACAUAUUGAAAAAGAACAAAUAAAAAUUCAAGAUUCAUAAUUCCCAGAAAAAAAGAAAAAUAGCCCAAUCGGUAAUGUCCAUGCUAGAUCACCCCUAAUGAGGAUCACCCUUCAGAUCCUGACACGUGGCAUCUGUUCAACUUUAAGUGAAGCAGCCGGUCCACCUCGAAAACCCGGUCUUUCAUACAACUAAACCAGCCUAUUACCGGUUAUCUUGCACUCUUUUUUGUCCUCGAUUUCCG
rnacentral:lncRNA from 1 species